rnacentral:lncRNA from 1 species
CUGUGCGCGCAGCGUCGGCUCAGCCACCGCAGCUCCUCCCCUGGGAUGAAAAAGCACUCUGACGUCUUGAAAGCUGGCAGCUCUCUGUUUGGAAAAUCUCUGCCCAGUGAAAAAAUGUACCGACAAGAUUACUAAGUAACACAGUCUUCUGGGAAUGCCUUAUCAAUGCCAGCUAUUUGAAGAGCACCCAAAGUCAAACUAGUGCUCCGCGCUGGCAGUCUGGAAAAGGCAGAUAUUUCAGUCAGUAAUGGAUAUUACCACCAGCAUUUAAUCAAGGAAGCAGGAAGUGAUCCAUCACUGCUAGCUGCUAUCUACAGGAAUUCUGUCUACAGGCAGGGCAGACCAGUCAGCCAGUAUCUUCCCGAAGUACCUUGGUCUUCCACCAUCCAUCCCACUGAGAGAGCCGUUCCUCUAAUGAGGCAUUUCUAAGCAGCUGUCCAUUGAACUCUACCCCUUGAGAUAUCCUGAGAAAUAGGAAUCUAUGGUUCCUAUUGUUUGGAAAGUAGUAUAUCUUCCUUGAAGAUUCACAAUGCGUAUUAAUAUGCUUAGGGCUCUGAUAAGUCCUGUAUUAAAAAUGCUUGUUAAACUUU